rnacentral:rRNA from 1 species
AACGAACGCUGGCGGCGUGCCUAAUACAUGCAAGUAGAACGCUGAAGGAGGAGCUUGCUUCUCUGGAUGAGUUGCGAACGGGUGAGUAACGCGUAGGUAACCUGCCUGGUAGCGGGGGAUAACUAUUGGAAACGAUAGCUAAUACCGCAUAAUAGCAGUUGUUGCAUGACAACUGUUUGAAAGGUGCAAUUGCACCACUACCAGAUGGACCUGCGUUGUAUUAGCUAGUUGGUGGGGUAACGGCUCACCAAGGCGACGAUACAUAGCCGACCUGAGAGGGUGAUCGGCCAAACUGGGACUGGGACACGGCCCAGACUCCUACGGGAGGCAGCAGUAGGGAAUCUUCGGCAAUGGACGGAAGGCUGACCGAGCAACGACGCGGGAGUGAAGAAGGGUUUCGGAUCGUAAAGCUCUGUUGUAAGAGAAGAACGAGUGUGAGAGUGGAAAGUUCACACUGUGACGGUAUCUUAACAGAAAGGGACGGCUAACUACGUG